AGAUUGAACGCUGGCGGCAGGCCUAACACAUGCAAGUCGAGCGGCAGCACGGGUACUUGUACCUGGUGGCGAGCGGCGGACGGGUGAUUAAUGCCUAGGAAUCUGCCUGGUAGUGGGGGAUAACGCUCGGAAACGGACGCUAAUACCGCAUACGUCCUACGGGAGAAAGCAGGGGACCUUCGGGCCUUGCGCUAUCAGAUGAGCCUAGGUCGGAUUAGCUAGUUGGUGAG
rnacentral:rRNA from 1 species